rnacentral:rRNA from 1 species
UACGUAGGGGGCAAGCGUUGUCCGGAUUUAUUGGGCGUAAAGAGCGUGUAGGCGGCCAGACAGGUCCGUUGUGAAAACUCGAGGCUCAACCUCGAGACGUCGAUGGAAACCGUCUGGCUAGAGUCCGGAAGAGGAGUGUGGAAUUCCAGGUGUAGCGGUGAAAUGCGUAGAUAUCUGGAGGAACGCCGGUGGCGAAGGCGGCAUCCUGGACCGACGCUGACGCUGAGGAGCGAAAGCCAGGGGAGCAAACGGG